GUGCUUGCUUCAGUAGCACAUAUACUAGAAUUAGAAAGAUACCGAGAAGAUUAGUAUGGCCCCUGCAUAAGGACGACACACAAAUUUGUGAAGUGUUCCAUAUUUUU
ensembl:snRNA U6 U6 spliceosomal RNA